rnacentral:rRNA from 1 species
GACGAACGCUGGCGGCGUGCUUAACACAUGCAAGUCGAACGGAAAGGCCCUGCUUUUGUGGGGUGCUCGAGUGGCGAACGGGUGAGUAACACGUGAGUAACCUGCCCUUGACUUUGGGAUAACUGCAGGAAACUGGGGCUAAUACCGGAGAGGAGCUCCUGCUGCAUGGUGGGGGUUGGAAAGUUUCGGCGGUUGGGGAUGGACUGGCGGCUUAUCAGCUUGUUGGUGGGGUAGUGGCUUACCAAGGCUUCGACGGCUAGCCGGCCUGAGAGGGUGACCAGGCACAUUGGGACUGAGGUACGGCCCAGACUCCUACGGGAGGCAGCGGUGGGAAAUAUUGCACAAUGGGCGGAAGCCUGAUGCAGCAACGCCGCGUGCGUGAUGACGGCCUUCGGGUUGUAAACCGCUUUCGCCUGUGACGAAGCGUGAGUGACGGUAAUGGGUAAAGAAGCACCGGCUAACUACGUG